CUAUUUUCUCUGAUUUCAUGUAUGUUUUAUACUGGAUUUGUUAGAAAAACCAGUUCAUUUACAUUUUUUUCGUCCAAUUUAGCUUUUUCUUCUUCUUUUUGAAUCUCUUUUCAAGACCACUUGAUUUUGAAGAAGAGGAGGCAGUCGAGGAAGCCAUCAGACGCAGUUUGGAAGAAGAAACUGUCCAGGUUCCACAAGAGUCGAGGUCUAUUAAAACGUUGACAACAGAAGAAAUAACUGGAAUUGUAAAAGCUCACAGUGAAAUGGUUGUUACAGAAGGAUUUAGGUCAAUUAUUGUCAGCCGAAGAAAUGUGUGGACAUCUGCGAUCCGACAAUUCCGGCGACCAAGAUUUGUUGAAAGCACCGAUAUGCUGUAUGUAACCUUUGCCAGUGAUGAAAACACCACAGAAGAUGCAGAAGAUCUUGGAGGUCCCCGUCGAGAAUUCUUUCGCUUGCUUGUUAAAGCAAUUUUCCAAGAAAGUGGGGCAUUUGAGGAGUCCCCCAAUGGCUUCAUUCCAAGACUAAAUGUUUCACAUGUCCAAAAUCGAGUCUACCGCACUAUUGGUCAGAUGAUGUCUACCAUCAUUGUCCAAGGUGGAGAAUGUCCUGCUCUCCUUUCCUUUGUUGUCUUGGACUACCUGCUGACUGGGCGUAUGUUCGACAUCCGCGUUUCUCCAGAGGAUGUUGCCGAUGUGGAACUUAGAGACAGCCUCAAGACAAUUGAUCAAGCAACAACUGAUGAUGAUCUGCAAUGAGC